GAUGAAGAACGCAGCGAAAUGCGAUAAGUAAUGUGAAUUGCAGAAUUCAGUUAAUCAUCGAAUCUUUGAACGCACAUUGCGCCCGCCAGCACUCUGGCGGGCAUGCCUGUUCGAGCGUCAUUUCAACCAUCAAGCCCCCAGGGGCUUGUGCUGGGGCCCUGCGGCUGCCCGCAGGCCCUGAAAACCAGUGGCGGGCUCGCUAGUCACACCGAGCGCAGUAGCACAUCUCGCUCAGGGCGUGCGGCGGGCUCCUGCCGUGAAACCCCCCACUGUAACCCCAAAGGUUGACCUCGGAUCAGGUAGGAAUACCCGCUGAACUUAAGCAUAUCAAUAAGCCGAGGA
rnacentral:misc_RNA from 1 species